GACAGAGGGUGCAAACGUUGUCCGGAUUUAUUGGGCGUAAAGAGCUCGUAGGCGGCUUGUCGCGUCGUCCGUGAAAACCUGCGGCUCAACUGCAGGCUGGCGGUCGAUACGGGCAGACUAGAGUGCGGUAGGGGAGACUGGAAUUCCUGGUGUAGCGGUGAAAUGCGUAGAUAUCGGGAGGAACACCGUUGGCGAAGGCGACUUUCUGGGCUGCUACUGACGCUGAAGCGCGAAAGUCAGGGGAGCGAACAGG
rnacentral:rRNA from 1 species